UACGGAGGGAGCUAGCGUUGUUCGGAAUUACUGGGCGUAAAGCGCACGUAGGCGGCUUUGUAAGUUAGAGGUGAAAGCCCGGGGCUCAACCCCGGAAUUGCCCUUAAGACUGCAUCGCUUGAAUCCGGGAGAGGUGAGUGGAAUUCCGAGUGUAGAGGUGAAAUUCGUAGAUAUUCGGAAGAACACCAGUGGCGAAGGCGGCUCACUGGACCGGUAUUGACGCUGAGGAGCGAAAGCCAGGGGAGCAAACGGG
rnacentral:rRNA from 1 species